rnacentral:rRNA from 1 species
GACGAACGCUGGCGGCGUGCUUAACACAUGCAAGUCGAACGCUGAAGCCCUUUCGGGGGUGGAUGAGUGGCGAACGGGUGAGUAACACGUGGGUAAUCUGCCCUGCACUCUUGGAUAAGCCUUGGAAACGGGGUCUAAUACCGGAUAGGACACAUCGCCGCAUGGUGUGUGUGUGGAAAGUUCCGGGGGUGAAGGUCGAGCCCGCGGCCUAUCAGCUUGUUGGUGGGGUGAUGGCCUACCAAGGCGACGACGGGUAGCCGGCCUGAGAGGGUGACCGGCCACACUGGGACGGAGACACGGCCCAGACUCCUACGGGAGGCAGCAGUGGGGAAUCUUGCGCAAUGGGCGAAAGCCUGACGCAGCAACGCCGCGUGGGGGAUGACGGCCUUCGGGUUGUAAACCUCUUCCGACCGGGACGAAGGGUGACUGACGGUACCGGUAGAAGAAGCACCGGCUAACUACGUGCCAGCCGCCGCCGUAA